UACGGAGGAUCCAAGCGUUAUCCGGAAUUACUGGGCGUAAAGCGCACGUAGGCGGCUUGGUAUGUCGGGUGUGAAAUCCCCGGGCUCAACCUGGGAACUGCAUCCGAAACUGCCUUGCUCGAGUAUGGGAGAGGGAAGUGGAAUUUCCGGUGUAGCGGUGAAAUGCGUAGAUAUCGGAAGGAACAUCAGUGGCGAAGGCGACUUCCUGGACCAAUACUGACGCUCAGGUGCGAAAGCGUGGGGAGCAAACAGG
rnacentral:rRNA from 1 species